AGUGAACGCUGGCGGUAGGCCUAACACAUGCAAGUCGAACGACAACACAGUAAGCUCUCGCUCCUACGGGUGGCGAGUGGCGGACGGGUGAGACAUAGAUCGGCUACUUCUUUUUCUUGGGGGACUUCGUAGAGACGGUUACGCUAAUAGCGCAUACAUCCUACGGCUUGAUGCAAGGGUUAUUCGGAGUUUUCCCGAUACAAUGAGACGAUGUCGGAUUAGCUAGUUGGCGGGGUAAAGGCUCACCAAGGCAACGAUGCGUAGCUGGUCUGAGAGGAUGAUCAGCCACACUGGAACUGAGACACGGUCCAGACUCCUACGGGAGGCAGCAGUGGGGAAUAUUGGGCAAUGGGCGCAAGCCUGAUGCAGCCAUGCCGCGUGAGUGAAGAAGGUCUUCGGGUCGUAAAGCUCUUUUGUUGGGAAAGAACAGCUGUAGAUGUAUCCACGGCCGUCCUGACGGUACCCAAACAGUAAGCAACGGCUAACUUCGUG
rnacentral:rRNA from 1 species